UCAUUCUCUAGAGCAGCCGGAAGAGGAACGCGGCUACCAGACCCUGGCCAGGGAGCGGGAAGCGCUGAUGCAGAAGUACCUGCACCUGCUGCAGAUCGUGGAGACGAGAAGACAGUGGCCAAGCAGCUACAGCAGCAGAUCGAGGAUGGGGAGAUCAAUAUCGAGCGGCUGAAGGCAGAGGAUAAUGCACAAUGAAGUAAACGAGACAGAGAGCAUCCAGGAAAACAGAGCCAUGGAGUGCA